CUCCUAAGGAUUGUUGUAUUUUACUUUUAAAAACGUAAAAGAUUAAAACGAUUAAUUAAUCUCUUAAACAAAAGGCUCUCGUCUUAAAAAUCAGCCACGUCGCCCCGGUAUCAAGUUAACUUGUUUUCUUCUAUUUACAAAUGGUUUAAUUCUAAGUCUGUCAAGUUGGGAUUAGCAAUGCCAGUUAAGUGGCAAUGUCCGGGCUAUCCAAAAUGUCAGAAAAUAUUUCAAUAUGGUUCAGGAUUAAAAGCUCACAUAAAUUCCUGUAAACGGGCACAGAGUAAGCGAGCGAAGAAGAAAAAAGAUGAAAUUGAGACCAUUAUAACUAUCAUUCAAUUUGUGGAGGAUAGACAACGCGGAAAUAUCACAAUUGCUCGACGGAAAGUGCCUGAUUUUAUACAGCCAAGUGCAGUGCUCGCUAGGAUUUGACAGGGAUUUCUCUUAUCUGCGACUAUUGUAUUUCAAGGAUUUCUUUUUGUUCUGGAAAUAUAUGGAAAAGAUAUGUUUAUUUAAUAUGCUGCACUUUCUAAAACAACGUAACCAUGAAAAGAUAAAUUGAUUUGAAUGUUUACAUUUAUAUUAUUCAAAAGUGGUAAUAUUCAAUAAAAGUAUUCUCAUACGAAACAAUACAUUGAAUAGAACUACAGACUUAUAUAGCUUUAAACUUUCAAUGAUUAAAAACUCUGAACUUCAUUCAUUCAAUUAGUUGUAUUGAAUUACCGAAAUUGAAAACCAGAGACGAGGGGCAUUGGAACUAUAACUAUGCAUUGAUUCGUAUAUCAACUAUCAUGGGUUUUUUUCUUGCUGGUAAAGGCUGCAUUUUACGGAAGAGCACUGUUUCUAUUUAUAUGUAGUCUUGUGUACGAUGAGUUAUUUUUUUAAGCCAGGCCCUUUUCAAUAAAUUUUUUGAAAACAUUACCAAUGAGAGUUAAAGUUUUUGAAUCUGUUAAAGGCUAUUGUUUCAUUUUUUGAAAUGUAUAUUUGUGUAACAUCAACUCCUAUGACGUGCUCUUUUCUGCGACGUAAUUGAGCUAAUAUUUUUUUGUGAUUGUUAAUGGGCAAAUGAUGCUUAGUUUAGUGUUUUUGUGUACCAUGUAAUAUCAUAUAUAAGCGCAUGUAUUAUUGAUAUAUUUCUCUCAAAUAAAAAUGAAAAUUU